UGAACGCUAGCGGCAGGCUUAACACAUGCAAGUCGAGGGGCAUCACGGGUAGCAAUACCUGGUGGCGACCGGCGCAAGGGUGCGUAACGCGUGAGCAACAUGCCCUAUACAGGGGGAUAAUCCAGGGAAACUUGGUCUAAUAUCCCAUAGCAUUUAGAGGUGGCAUCACCAUUAAAUUAAAGCUUCGGUGGUAUAGGAUUGGCUCGCGUGACAUUAGCUAGAUGGUGGGGUAACGGCUCACCAUGGCUAUGAUGUCUAGGGGUUCUGAGAGGAAGACCCCCCACACUGGGACUGAGACACGGCCCAGACUCCUACGGGAGGCAGCAGUGAGGAAUAUUGGACAAUGGAUGGAAAUCUGAUCCGGCCAUGCCGCGUGCAGGAAGACGGCCCUAUGGGUUGUAAACUGCUUUUAUAUGGGAGCAAUAAGGUCUACGAGUAGACCGAUGAGAGUACCAUAUGAAUAAGCAUCGGCUAACUCCGUG
rnacentral:rRNA from 1 species